rnacentral:rRNA from 1 species
CUUAACGGAGUUUUUUAAAGUAUGUUUUUGUACCGAAAGGUUUUGAUCUUAGAUUUAGUUGUUUAGAAGUGUUGUUUGGUCUGGGUAAGGUCUUGUAAACUAAAUUUAUGUGGUGAUAAGUGAGUCGUAAAGCUUUAUAACUGUUUGGUUGUUUAGAAUUUAGUGGGAUGUAGGUGGCUAUUAGGUCAUUUAUAUUUUUAUACAUUUGGUGAUGUGUGGUUUUUGAUAAGGUUAGAGGUACCUAGUUUUUGUUAUAUUGUUGUAAAUAUGGUUUUGUUGGUUUAUUGGUAUGUUAAUUGUUUGAACAACUGUUUUGUUAUAUUUGGUUAUUAUAUUAUCGUUGAAUAAGUAAUUUUAUUAUGCUAUUUAUUUCUUGAGUUCUUUCCGUCUGUUUAUUAAAAACAUUUCUAAUUUUAAUUGUAGUUAGUAGUGCCUGCCCAAUGUUGGUUAAUUAAUGGCCGCAGUAUAUUGACUGUGCAAAGGUAGCAUAAUUAAUUGCCUUUUAAUUGGAGGCUUGUUUGAAUGGUUUGACGUGAUUGGUAUGAAUAUUUGGUAUUUGGUUGAAAUUGAUUUUGAGGGUUUAGAAUCCUUAAUGUUUAAUAAGACGGAAAGACCCUAGGAUCUUUUGUUUUUGUUUGGGGCAAAUAUUGUUGUUUUAUGAAUAUUGUGACCCU